UGCGCCGCCGCCCUGGCCGAGCUCCGCCGCCUCGCGUGGGACGAAGCCUGGCAGCUCGUCCAGCAGCUCGACUGCCGGAUCGCCGACGGCUGCGUCGACUCCUGCCCUGAGCCGAGGUUGAACAACAUGGAAUGGAACAUGACAACGCUGCAAACGGAUGAUCUGAGGCAUAUCCUGUGUCAGUCACUCCAAGCUGUGCGGCGCAUCACAAGAGCCACGGUCGGCAGGAUGAGAUGUGAGAGCUGGCGUCUACCUGACUCUGAGUGGAUGUAUAAAACUGUUUUCCAGGAACGCCUCUCCAGCUACUGGCGAGAUGUGGCGCAGCUGCUCUCACUCAGUGCGACGCAC